GACAGAGGGUGCAAACGUUGUUCGGAAUUACUGGGCGUAAAGCGCGUGUAGGCGGCCCUGCAAGUCGGAUGUGAAAUCCCACGGCUCAACCGUGGAAGUGCAUUCGAAACUGCAGGGCUAGAGUCCUGGAGAGGAAGGUGGAAUGCUUGGUAUAGAGGUGAAAUUCGUAGAUAUCAAGCGGAACACCGGUGGCGAAGGCGGCCUUCUGGACAGUGACUGACGCUGAGACGCGAAAGCGCGGGGAGCGAACGGG
rnacentral:rRNA from 1 species